CUGGGCUUGUCUAAAGAAGCUAGCCAAAAUGGAGUCAGAGCAUUCUGGCUCUUCAUUAACCAGUUAAACCUUUUUGCUACUCCUAUCAAUGAGGUGCUGGGAACUGAACCUGAGUCUUCUGGAUGAGCAAGACACCAUGAAGUAAACAUCAUAACCCAACUGCAAUGCACCAUGCUACUGGACACCCAAAGCCACAGGGCCAUGUGACAUGGACUGAAACCUCUAGAACAUUGAGCCAAAACAGGAAUGAACAGCUGGGGAUCACCAGAUCCUGUGGAAAACAUCUCAUAGAAGAUGGAGACUCAGAAGAGCAAAAAUCAGAAAGCAAAGCAGGUAUGUAGCAGAGAAGAGACAAGCAGGGAGCCAGAGACCUAGAAAACAGUAAUCCAUGUUCUUAGAAAUCAGAUGGCGUUGUACCCACUGGAAAGAACAUUGUGAGAGUAAAGGUGAAUUGGUAGGAGUUGGUCAAGGAAGGGAGACUAUAGAUGUUUACAAGACACAAAGUAACGUCUGUCUGUCUACCAUCUAUCCAUCUACCAAUCAUCUGUCCUUUAUAUAUUUAUAAUCUGUCAUCUAUCUCCUACCUAUCUGGUAUCUAUCCAUAUCUAUAUAUCAUCCAUAAUUUAUGUUUAUGAUCUGUCUACUAUCAAUCACCUGUCAUCUACUUACCUACCUAUUCAUCAUCUAUUAUCUAUGCAUCUACCAUCUACUAUCUAUUACCUAUCACCUAUUAUCCAUAGUUUAUCAUCUAUUAUCUACCACUUAUCUACCAAGCAAGUCUGUAAAUAUCUAUCUAUAAUCUAUUUACCUACUUAUUUAUAAAUCAUG